CCAAUAGCGUAUAUUAAAGUUGUUGCAGUUAAAAAGCUCGUAGUUGAAUUUCGGGAUCAAUUUAUUGGUCGUGCUAUUGUACGUACUGGUAUUAUUGAUUUCUACCUUCUGACGAACCAUGAUGUCAUUAAUUUGGUGUCUUGGGGAAUCAGGACUGUUACUUUGAAAAAAUUAGAGUGUUUAAAGCAGGCUCACGCUUG
rnacentral:rRNA from 1 species